GAAUAUGGUGGCACAGUGGUUAAGUGCACUUGACUUGCAAUCAAAAAGGUCCCAAGUUCGAGUUCAAGUCCUUUUCG